rnacentral:tRNA from 1 species
GCCCCAGUGGCCUAAUGGAUAAGGCACUGGCCUCCUAAGCUAGGGAUUGUGGGUUCAAGUCCCAUCUGGGGUG